rnacentral:rRNA from 1 species
CCUACGGGUGGCAGCAGUGGGGAAUAUUGGGCAAUGGAGGAAACCCUGACGCAGCAACGCCGCGUGAAGGAUGAAGGUUUUCGGAUUGUAAACUUCUGUCGCGAGGGAUGAAGAAUCACGGUACUAAGUAAUAAAGACCCGGCAAACUCCGUGCAAGCAGCCGCGGUAAAACGUGGGUGGCUAGCGUUGUCCGGAAUGACGGGGCGUAAAGAGAGUGUAGGCGGCAUAUUAAGUCAGGUGUGAAAGCCCGCGGCGCAACCACGGAAUUGCAUAUGAAACUGGUAAGCUGGAGUGCGGGAGAGGUAAGUGGAAUUCCCGGUGUAGGGGUAGAAUGCGUAGAUAUCGAGAGGAACACCAGAGGCGAAGGCGACUUACUGGAACGUAACUGACGCUGAGGCUCGAAAGCGUGGGGAGCAAACAGGAUUAGAUACCCUUGUAGUC